GGACCCGCACAAGCAGUGGAGCAUGUGGUUUAAUUCGAAGAUACGCGCAGAACCUUACCAACACUUGACAUGUUCGUCGCGAGACUAAGAGAUUAGUUUCUUCAGUUCGGCUGGACGAAACACAGGUGCUGCAUGGCUGUCGUCAGCUCGUGUCGUGAGAUGUUGGGUUAAGUCCCGCAACGAGCGCAACCCCCUACUUUUAGUUGCCACCAUUUAGUUGGGCACUUUAAAAGAACUGCCAGUGAUAAGCUGGAGGAAGGUGGGGAUGACGUCAAGUCCUCAUGGCCCUUAUGUGUUGGGCUACACACGUGCUACAAUGGCACUUACAAUGGGAUGCGAAGAGGCGACUCUAAGCUAAUCCCAAAAAUGUGUCUCAGUUCGGAUUGUACUCUGUAACUCGAGUGCAUGAAGCUGGAAUUGCUAGUAAUCGC
rnacentral:rRNA from 1 species